rnacentral:rRNA from 1 species
AUAUGUGAUUAUAUCAAACACUAUCACAUCGAAUCUCAUCAGAACUCUGAAACUAAUCAUGUUUGGACGAGAGUAGUACUAAAAUGGGAGACUCCUUAGGAAUUAAGUUCUCGUGUUACAUCCU